UAAUAAACUAAAACUUUCAACAACGGAUCUCUUGGUUCUGGCAUCGAUGAAGAACGCAGCGAAAUGCGAUAAGUAAUGUGAAUUGCAGAAUUCAGUGAAUCAUCGAAUCUUUGAACGCACAUUGCGCCCCUUGGUAUUCCGAGGGGCAUGCCUGUUCGAGCGUCAUUUCAACCCUCAAGCUAUGCUUGGUAUUGGGCUCCGUCCUCU
rnacentral:rRNA from 1 species